ACGACGCUGGCGGCGUGCCUAAUACAUGCAAGUAGAACGCACAGUUAUACCGUAGCUUGCUACACCAUAGACUGUGAGUUGCGAACGGGUGAGUAACGCGUAGGUACCUGCCUGGUAGCGGGGGAUAACUAUUGGAAACGAUAGCUAAUACCGCAUAAUAUUAAUUAUUGCAUGAUAAUUAAUUGAAAGGUGCAAUUGCACCACUACCAGAUGGACCUGCGUUGUAUUAGCUAGUAGGUGAGGUAACGGCUCACCUAGGCGACGUUACAUAGCCGACCUGAGAGGGUGAUCGGCCACACGGGGACUGAGACACGGCCCAGACUCCUACGGGAGGCAGCAGUGGGGAAUCCUCGGCAAUGGACGAAAGUCUGACCGAGCAACGCCGCGCGAGUGAAGAAGGUUUUCGGAUCGUAAAGCUCUGUUGUAAGAGAAGAACGUGGUGUGAGAGUGGAAAGUUCACACUGUGACGGUGUCUCUACCA
rnacentral:rRNA from 1 species